GCCCCGCGCUCCCGGUCUGAUGCUGCUCUCGUUCUCCUCCAGGACCCUCCGCCUCGCGCAAACGGUGCCCGUGCAGUUGCAGGGUGCCGUUGUAGGGUAUCCAAUGGAAUGGAGCCCGAGCCCUCAUUGUGAUCAUCAGCUGGUCACAAAAGACUCUACAAACUCGAAACAAGUCAUUGACUUGGCUUCAUCUCCCAGGAAGCAUCACUGCUGGAACACUGACAGAUGCUUCACCAACGUGACAGAAGCAGCUCUGUUGACCACCUGGAAAUGCUCCACAGACCACAGUCUGAGAUCUCCUGAAACAGAGGCAGACUGAGUUUCCCUAAAGAGUGCUACCCAGCUCAGGGGUCCUCCAUAUGCUGUGGCAUUCAAACAUGAUAUGAAAACAGCUGUGGUGCUGACAGUUUUUGCUGCAGCACCUCCUGCUCUUCAUUGUGCCAGUGCUGUUUUAUUCUUUGCUAUUGGGCAGCCUGGCCUUGGAGGAAGGCAUCUUAUUUUAAGAAAAAUAUCUGAUGCAGAAAGGAAGGACAAGAAGUGUGCUGAAAAAGCCUGUCAGAUCACUGAUAUAAAACAGUUUCUCUCUGUUAAGGAGUAAUAAGACUAUUCAAAGAAGAAACCAACAGCCAAGGUGUUGGAACAUAUUUGGAACAGGGUCUGGUGCUGUAUAUGUAUAGCACAUAGCAAAGUGCACCCCAAUCUCAGCUGUGGUAUUUAAGUACUGCUGCAAGAGGUUUCAAAACCCCCAACGAAAUUCUGAAACAGCCUAGGAUUCUAAGUCUUUUUUUCUGAUAACCACCAUUAUUUUCAAAAUAGUUUUUCUCUAUCGUUCUCUGACUUUGUUGGUCUCUACCUCUUCUCUGACUUUUGCUAGUGCAUCUAAAACAGAACAUUCUCCUGUUCUCCUCUUAACUGGCUUAUGGUUAGAGGUCUAGAAAAAAAGUAGUGGUCUAGACAGAUAAAUAAAGCUAGGCUGAGAACCAGAAUUAUUUUAUCUAGAGAAGAGAAGAACAGGAGAGAUUUGAAAAGUCUUUAAAUGCAAAAUAAAGUUGUUGUAACUGUUGUUCAAAAA